ACACAACUUUCCCUGCCAUUGUAC
rnacentral:siRNA from 1 species